UGGGGAAUCUUGCGCAAUGGGCGAAAGCCUGACGCAGCGACGCCGCGUGGGGGAUGAAGGCCCUCGGGUUGUAAACCCCUUUCGGCAGGGACGAAGCGAUCGUGACGGUACCUGCAGAAGAAGCCUCGGCUAACUACGUGCCAGCAGCCGCGGUAACACGUGGGAGGCGAGCGUUGUCCGGAUUCAUUGGGCGUAAAGAGCGCGCAGGCGGUUUGGCAAGUCGGAUGUGAAAUCCCGAGGCUCAACCUCGGGACUGCAUCCGAUACUGCCCGACUAGAGGUAGGUAGGGGAGAUCGGAAUUCCUGGUGUAGCGGUGAAAUGCGCAGAUAUCAGGAGGAACACCGGUGGCGAAGGCGGAUCUCUGGGCCUUACCUGACGCUCAGGCGCGAAAGCUAGGGGAGCGAACAGGAUUAGAUACCCUGGUAGUCCUAGCCGUAAACGUUGGGUGCUAGGUGUGGGCGGACAUCGACCCCGUCCGUGCCGAAGCUAACGCAUUAAG
rnacentral:rRNA from 1 species